rnacentral:lncRNA from 1 species
GUGCCCAAAUCGAUGUUGCUACAGAUAAUCGGUCAAGGCAAGAAGGCAUGUAUCAAGCGGCUCUGGCGCCUACCCUUCUGAGAAACAUGGACAGAGGUCGUCGCUGGAGCACGGCUAUGGUGUCCAAAAACUCGGCGAGCUGGAUUUAGCCCUCGGGGUUUGAUUGGUUCCUUAUCCUCUUACACCUGUAAUUCAACAAUUU